rnacentral:misc_RNA from 1 species
AACCUAGCACACCUGCGGUGUGUACCUGCGGAGGGAUCAUUACUGAGUGUAAAAACUCCCAAACCCACUGUGAACAUACCACUGUUGCUUCGGCGGAUGCGCCCCGGGCGCGCCCUACAAAGGCGUGCCCCGGAUCAAGGCCACCGCCGGGGGACCGAAACUCUUGUUUUCCUAAGGAUUCUCUGAGUGUGAUUAUUAAAUCAAAUCAAAACUUUUAACAACGGAUCUCAGAUCGGAAGA